rnacentral:rRNA from 1 species
UGGGGAAUAUUGGACAAUGGGCGAAAGCCUGAUCCAGCCAUGCCGCGUGUGUGAAGAAGGUCUUCGGAUUGUAAAGCACUUUAAGUUGGGAGGAAGGGCAUUAACCUAAUACGUUAGUGUUUUGACGUUACCGACAGAAUAAGCACCGGCUAACUCUGUGCCAGCAGCCGCGGUAAUACAGAGGGUGCAAGCGUUAAUCGGAAUUACUGGGCGUAAAGAGCGCGUAGGUGGUUUGUUAAGUUGGAUGUGAAAUCCACGGGUUCAAACUGGGAACUGCAUUCAAAACUGACUGACUAGAGUAUGGUAGAGGGUGGUGGAAUUUCCUGUGUAGCGGUGAAAUGCGUAGAUAUAGGAAGGAAC